UCUACUGGGGACAAAAGACAGACGAGGGAAGCUUAGCAGAUGCUUGUGCCACAGGCAACUACGAAUACGUGAACAUCGCCACCCUUUUCAAGUUUGGCAUGGGCCAAACUCCAGAGAUCAACCUCGCUAGCCACUGUGACCCUCAGAACAACGGCUGCGCGCGCUUAAGCAGCGAAAUCCAGUCCUGCCAGGAGCGUGGAGUCAAGGUGAUGCUCUCCAUCGGAGGUGGCGGGUCUUAUGGCCUGAGUUCCACCGAAGACGCCAAGGACGUGGCGUCAUACCUCUGGCACAGUUUCUUGGGUGGUUCUGCUGCUCGCUACUCUCGACCCCUCGGGGAUGCGGUUCUGGAUGGCAUAGACUUCAACAUCGCCGGAGGGAGCACAGAACACUACGAUGAACUUGCCGCUUUCCUCAAGGCCUACAACGAGCAGGAGGCCGGAACGAAGAAAGUUCACUUGAGUGCUGCUCCGCAGUGUCCUUUCCCGGAUUACUGGCUUGGCAACGCACUCAGAACAGAUCUCUUCGACUUCGUGUGGGUGCAGUUCUUCAACAACCCUUCGUGCCAUUUCUCCCAGAACGCUAUCAAUCUUGCAAAUGCGUUCAACAAUUGGGUCAUGUCCAUCCCUGCGCAAAAGCUGUUCCUUGGGCUUCCUGCUGCUCCUGAGGCUGCUCCAAGUGGUGGCUACAUUCCACCCCAUGNNNNNNNNNNNNNNNNNNNNAUCUCAUAUCUAAAGUUCUUCCGAUCCUAAAGGAUUCCGACAAGUACGCAGGAAUCAUGCUGUGGACUAGAUACCACGACAGAAACUCCGGCUACAGUUCUCAAGUCAAGUCCCACGUGUGUCCAGCGCGUCGGUUCUCCAACAUCUUAUCUAUGCCGGUGAAGUCUUCCAAGUAAACCUGAACGGCGUAGAUGAUCGGUGGUCGAUAACUCCGAUCAUCAUGGGUCCCCCAUCGUAUCCGUGCGUGCUACGUAUGGUGUUUCGCUUGUAUGUGGUCUUUUCAAUAAUAUAAUAAGGGGGUGGUUUUACGUAUCCAUAUUUUCGAUGUUCGAAAACAGUAUAUUUGCUGCCCCUUCCAAAUUUGAAAAAGAUAAAAUAAAUAAAUAACUAAAAAUAUUCUUUUUUUUUUCUUUCGACAAAUAUAUAACUCUCAACUUUCCCAAUUGUUUAAGCAAAAGAUAUAAAUUCUGAAGAUCAAUAUGCUACCGCUUAAGAUGCAUACUUCCACUGUUAGGGAAACAUAUUCAAAUAUCAGUAAAGAAAUACAAUUUUGAGAAGUUGAGAAGCAAAGGUAGAUCAAUAAGUAAAUACACAACACAACUCUAUUAAUUGUUAUACUAACUUGGUAAUUAUUACAUACUCAUACCUAUAUUUAUAAAGAAAAUUAACUAAUUUUACUAUAUACUUUAACUAUAACCGACAUAAAUAUUUCUUUUUUAUUUUUGUUGCACAACAAUUAUGGUAGCUAAGCUGGUGACUCUACAACUAAUUAACCAACUUCACUAAGUCGAUCCUAAAAUAAAGUAAGCGACAUUCGUUUGAUGUAAUUUAUGUUGUGCCCAUGAUUUUAGGUCAUCGAGAAAACUAUAUAACUUAUAAUUAUCAUAGAUGUCUUGUAUGUUCAAUACCGAUGUGGAGAACUACUUUACAUAAUCGAGAAUCAAAGUACUUUGGUAUAGUUAUCUCAUCUUCCUUUUUGAUAUGAACUAACUGAAUUCUCAACUCCCAUUUUAAGUCCUCCUAUAUAUCCAUUCAAUAUCAACCUUGUUGGAUCUCUUCCUAACAUAUUCAUCACUAAAGUUUUACCUCCCUAUUCAGAUAUAUGGUUACUAUCAAUGCUUUACUUUCUUCAUAAUCGAGCCUCGUAGUUCAAAAGUACUAUUCAUAUCAAACAAAAUAAUUCUCGAGCUUCUUUGCAUCCCUAACAUCCCCUUAGCAAUACAACUCGAGUGCUCUAAAGUUUUGUGACCGAGUGUUGCUCCAUCCCAUAUUAAGAACCCUCGUGAGCAAUAUAAUCUUGGGCAUGAGUUUCAUUAUGACUUCGAGUAGGUGCCGCAUGAAAUCUUUGGUGUCUUCCGUUAGUCGAUCUACUUAAAACUCAAUAUUGUCGAUUUGUGAUUUCACCUCCUUAGCAAGUUCUCUAUCCCAAAAAAUCUUUAUUGACCUUAGUAUAGUUUUUCUAUACUCACUUCGAGAACAUCGUUUCUAUAGGUAUAAGCCUUUCCUUAUAGCAUUUUUUUUGUUGAUGCUUUAGAUUACGUUUUCUUUGCUCAGGAGAAUAGCCAGCUUCUCGCUCCCUAUUUUCACUAUUGUACUCCUCUUGAGUGACUUCAACAACUUGAGAGUGAGUUUGCACUUGUAGGCCCCCCUUGUAAUUACUUAGGGCAAUGGUCUGAUUUGCCCCGUCUUGUUCGAUUUACCAGGGUGCUUAGCCAUAGUAAGAUUGAGAACUUUAACUAUUUGCUCAUGUUGCUUACCUACUCUAAUACUACAAUGCCAUGGACUUAACUGAAAUUGCCUAAGUCAUUAGGCACCAUUGCGUUAUCUGUUCGUAAAAUGUCAACCUAGUUGCAACCUUGCUUAGGUUUCGAAGGAUCUAUAAAAAAAUAAAUUGAUUAGUUUUGAAAAUCAACAAUGGUCAAGUUCGAUGUCUCGCAAAGAUAGCAACUUUACAACUAAUUCAACGAACAUUUAGUGUGAAAAAGAGAAAAAAGAGGAAGGAGAAAAUAAGUACUUUAGAAAGCAAAUGAACUGUUACAAGCUGACAAACGAUUGCUCAAUUGGGUGUCGGGUGUGUGGACAAGUUCUUGUAAGCUUUACAUGCAAACUUAUGAAUCCAAUCAAUGCUCGACACUACCUUAGACCCCCAUCAAGUCCUAUGUCACCUAUGUGAUAUAGGGUGUUGAGAUGAUUGACAUUUUACAUUGUACUAUAGCCUAUAGAAAAUAAAUCAUGACACAUAAAAACUGGUUAUUUUGGAUAGUUUUACUUAUUCUAGUGAGCAAUCAUUUUGUAGUUCUAUAAACUAUUCCUGUUUAUAAUUUUUAAAGAAAAAUACACAAAAACAAAACAAAUGAAUGAUGUUUGGCAAUAUACUUGUUGAGGCACCCUAGUUGAUCCGUAUUAACAUAUGUUUAGCAUCACAAUAUUAAAGUUUAAAAUUAAAAUAUUAAAUUAUAAUUAACAUAAAAAUUGGACAUACUAUCUUAUCGAACGCCAUCCAGUACCUUCUCACAAUAUGAAAUAAAUUAUAAUACAUAAAAAUAUUUUUCUUAAAGUCCAACACGACGAGGUGCUAAUGAAAUUUUCUAUUCAGAAAUAUGAAAUCGAUCCAUCUAUCAAAAUUUAUUUGAUAGCUUGGGUUGAACAUCAAAGUCCCUACUUAUUGAUAUUAUUUUUAUAUUAAAAAUAAUAAUAACCAAAAUAAUUAAAUAUAUUAGAAAUACAUAAUUUAGUAAGAGAUGAUAAAACGAUAUUACCUAAAAACAUGUUAUAAUAAUUGUAUUUCCGUAACAUUAGCAAAGGAUCUUAUUGUAAAUACAAGAAUUAUAGUGACUAAAUUGCAAAAGUACAAAAGAAAAUAAAAGGUUUUUUUUUGGCCCUACUGCCUCUCUCCUCGCAUAAUCACCUCUCCCUUGUACAAGAGGCUUCGGUGAGGUGAAAUCAAGCAGAAGACAAGGGGGAAAGGAAGAUUAGAAGAUAAAAAGAGGGAGAGGAAGAAGGAAAGAGAGAAGCUAAGGAGGCAUUGGCUGUAAGAACAGAAAGGCAGAGAAGAACAGAAGAAAAGGAAAAUAGAAAGGGACGAAGGAAGAAAAAGAAUAGAAAGGAAGGAAGUGGAGAGAAAGAAAAGAGUAAAAAAAGAAGUAAUAGAGGAUCGGGUGUGAGAAUAGGGUGGGGUUUCUAAAGAUGAGGAAAACGCGAUGAUAAUCUAAGUUGUAAAUGAAUAGUAUUUCUGAUUAUUAUAUCUGGGACGACAAGAAAGUGCACCUUUCGUGGUUGUCUUUCUGGAUAUUAUUAGAUUAUGAUAUCUUCAUGAAUGGAGAUGUGAUCGAUACAUUCCAUUGUCAUUGCAUCAAAAAUUGUCAAGUCCUGUGCAUCAAUUGUUACAAGCAUUAUUGUAAUACCACCAACCCAGCAAA
rnacentral:lncRNA from 1 species